AUCGCUUCUCGCUCUUUUGGCUAAGAUCGAGUGUAGUAUCUGUUCUUAUCAGUUUAAUAUCUGAUACACCCCCUAUCUGGGGGCGAUAUAUUAAAUGGAACAGGGAGAUGGAAGAAGAGCUUGUUCUGUCCACUCCAUGCAUUGACCCGGUAUUGCAGUACCUCCGGAACCGGUGUACAUUAA